rnacentral:rRNA from 1 species
GUAGGGAAUAUUGGGCAAUGGUCGGAAGACUGACCCAGCCAUGCCGCGUGCAGGAAGACGGCCCUCUGGGUUGUAAACUGCUUUUAUCUGGGAAGAAAAAGGCCAUGCGUGGCAAAUUGCCGGUACCAGAUGAAUAAGCACCGGCUAACUCCGUGCCAGCAGCCGCGGUAAUACGGAGGGUGCGAGCGUUGUCCGGAUUUAUUCGGUUUAAAGGGUGCGUAGGCGGCUGAUUAAGUCAGCGGUGAAAGACUUCGGCUUAACCGGAGCAGUGCCGUUGAUACUGGUUGGCUUGAGUGUCGGAGGGGUACAUGGAAUUGAUGGUGUAGCGGUGAAAUGCAUAGAUACCAUCAGGAACACCGAUAGCGAAGGCAUUGUACUGGCCGACAACUGACGCUGAUGCACGAAAGUGUGGGGAUCGAACAGGAUUAGAUACCCCGGUAGUCC